UUGAGUUCCCCAGAUCCUAGUCAGAUACCUUAACUACUCUCAGCUGAAAUAUGAGUAGAUAAAAGAGUUGUUGGAGUGUGGGAAGAAGAGCACAAAGUGGAAAAAUGGGAGGAUUUGGGGGCUGCCAGGGGGAAGGAAAGAAGAAAUAGUGUAUGGAAAGGGAUACAACAGUGCCCCUCACAAGUCUUUGUAGGUUCCCCAAUACACAACUGGCCUAGUGGCUGUCACCACUUUACCUGGACAGACUAUUCCAGUGAAAGUUUUCCAGGAAUAGGGAAGGAGGAAAAGCUGAAGCUGAAGGGGAGAGAUAAAGGUGGAUUGGCUAGUGGGCAGGAAAGAGAGAAGUAGGUAAAGGAAAGAUGUGAGGCUACGAGGAUUUUCAGAAAAAAGAAAGAAAAUGGGGGAAAGGGAAAAAAGAUGCCUCUCUUUCUGUGUGUGUUUAUCUUGCUAUCUAUAGAUAUGGUGGGGGAAUUAUGGUUGAAAAAUGAAGUCAGAAACAAAGCAGAAAAAGUACUAGCUCUUGCAUAUAAAAUUACAGUCCAGGCAAUAUUGGUGCAAAAAUGUGGGCCAAUGGAAUUCUAGAUUUUGAACUUUUGAUUCUGAGCAGCAAAUUAUGAAUUUUGGCAGGCAAGUGGGGUUCCAAAUUUGGGGGUAUUCCAGGUGAAAACUAACAAAUUCCUUCCAUAUUCUCAUUUGACAGUUUCAAGCAUCUAGUUUGUCCAGUCAUUCAUUUAUCAACCCAGCACUCUUGAAAACAGAAGACAUGAUGAACAAAUCAACUUCACAGAAAAUAUGCUGAAAACCUCAGCAGACUUCGGCAACAUAGCAGCACUCAGAAAUCCUUCCCCAACAUUCAACAUGACCACUAAAUCAACAAAGCUAUGUAAUAUCAUUGCAGCACAUGCAUAGAAAAAUUGAGGAACAAAUUACAGAGGCAAGAAAGCAAAGUUUCAAGGAGGGGAGAGCAGACAAACAUUGAGAUAAAUGAUGGAAUUGAAAACACCUUA